AUUGAACGCUGGCGGCAGGCUUAACACAUGCAAGUCGAGCGAGCGGCGGACGGGUGUGUAAUGUCUGGGAAACUGCCUGAUGGAGGGGGAUAACUACUGGAAACGGUAGCUAAUACCGCAUACCAUCAGAUUUGCCCAGAUGGGAUUCGCUAGUAGGUGGGGUAAUGGCUCACCUAGGCGACGAGCCCUAGAUGGUCUGAGAGGAUGACCAGCCACACUGGAACUGUGAAACGGUCCAGAAUCCUACGGGAGGCAGGAGUGGGGAAUAUUGCACAAUGGGCGCAAGCCUGAUGCAGCCAGGCCGGGUGUGGGAAGAGGGCCGUAGGGUUGGAAAGCACUUUCAGCGAGGAGGCGUUACUCGCAGAAGAAGCACCGGCUAACUCCGUGCCAGCCGCCGCGGUAAUUC
rnacentral:rRNA from 1 species